AGCAGGAGGAUAAAAAACUCAAGGCUUGGACAAAGGAAAGCAAUAACAGGAAAGUUUUUGAGCCCAGCUUUAUGGCUAGAACAUGAUCUUUCUUGGUAAAUGUUCCACGUUCACAAGAAAACAAGAUCAUGAUAUAGAACUCUCAACUACUUCUCCAGUAUCAUGCUUGCCUGCAUGUUACCAGGCUUCCAACCAUGAUAAU
rnacentral:lncRNA from 1 species